rnacentral:rRNA from 1 species
AGCGAACGCUGGCGGCAGGCCUAACACAUGCAAGUCGAACGAGGUCUUCGGACCUAGUGGCGGACGGGUGAGUAACACGUGGGAACGUGCCCUUUGGUACGGAAUAACUCAGGGAAACUUGAGCUAAUACCGUAUGUGCCCUUCGGGGGAAAGAUUUAUCGCCAUUGGAGCGGCCCGCGUCUGAUUAGCUAGUUGGUGAGGUAAUAGCUCACCAAGGCGACGAUCAGUAGCUGGUCUGAGAGGAUGACCAGCCACAUUGGGACUGAGACACGGCCCAAACUCCUACGGGAGGCAGCAGUGGGGAAUCUUGCGCAAUGGGCGAAAGCCUGACGCAGCCAUGCCGCGUGGAUGAUGAAGGUCUUAGGAUUGUAAAAUCCUUUCACCGGUGAAGAUAAUGACUGUAGCCGGAGAAGAAGCCCCGGCUAACUUCGUGCCAGCCGCCGCCGUAA